GACGUAGGUGGCGAACGUUAUCCGGAAUUAUUGGGCGUAAAGGGUGCGUAGGCGGCAUAAUAAGUUAUUGGCGGGAAAUCGAGGCUCAACCUCGUGGAAACUGAUAAUACUGUUUUGCUUGAGUACAGGAGAGGUUAACGGAAUUCCUGGUGUAGCGGUGAAAUGCGCAGAUAUCAGGAGGAACACCGGUGGCGAAGGCGGUUCUCUGGGCCUGUACUGACGCUGAGGAGCGAAGGCGUGGGGAGCGAACAGG
rnacentral:rRNA from 1 species